ACGAUAACGGCGUCGAGCGGCGGACGGGUGAGUAAUGCCUAGGAAAUUGCCCUGAUGUGGGGGAUAACCAUUGGAAACGAUGGCUAAUACCGCAUGAUGCCUACGGGCCAAAGAGGGGGACCUUCGGGCCUCUCGCGUCAGGAUAUGCCUAGGUGGGAUUAGCUAGUUGGUGAGGUAAGGGCUCACCAAGGCGACGAUCCCUAGCUGGUCUGAGAGGAUGAUCAGCCACACUGGAACUGAGACACGGUCCAGACUCCUACGGGAGGCAGCAGUGGGGAAUAUUGCACAAUGGGCGCAAGCCUGAUGCAGCCAUGCCGCGUGUGUGAAGAAGGCCUUCGGGUUGUAAAGCACUUUCAGUCGUGAGGAAGGUAGUGUAGUUAAUAGCUGCAUUAUUUGACGUUAGCGACAGAAGAAGCACCGGCUAACUCCGUGCCAGCAGCCGCGGUAAUACGGAGGGUGCGAGCGUUAAUCGGAAUUACUGGGCGUAAAGCGCAUGCAGGUGGUUUGUUAAGUCAGAUGUGAAAGCCCGGGGCUCAACCUCGGAAUUGCAUUUGAAACUGGCAGACUAGAGUACUGUAGAGGGGGGUAGAAUUUCAGGUGUAGCGGUGAAAUGCGUAGAGAUCUGAAGGAAUACCGGUGGCGAAGGCGGCCCCCUGGACAGAUACUGACACUCAGAUGCGAAAGCGUGGGGAGCAAACAGGAUUAGAUACCCUGGUAGUCCACGCCGUAAACGAUGUCUACUUGGAGGUUGUGGCCUUGAGCCGUGGCUUUCGGAGCUAACGCGUUAAGUAGACCGCCUGGGGAGUACGGUCGCAAGAUUAAAACUCAAAUGAAUUGACGGGGGCCCGCACAAGCGGUGGAGCAUGUGGUUUAAUUCGAUGCAACGCGAAGAACCUUACCUACUCUUGACAUCCAGAGAACUUUCCAGAGAUGGAUUGGUGCCUUCGGGAACUCUGAGACAGGUGCUGCAUGGCUGUCGUCAGCUCGUGUUGUGAAAUGUUGGGUUAAGUCCCGCAACGAGCGCAACCCUUAUCCUUGUUUGCCAGCGAGUAAUGUCGGGAACUCCAGGGAGACUGCCGGUGAUAAACCGGAGGAAGGUGGGGACGACGUCAAGUCAUCAUGGCCCUUACGAGUAGGGCUACACACGUGCUACAAUGGCGCAUACAGAGGGCAGCCAACUUGCGAAAGUGAGCGAAUCCCAAAAAGUGCGUCGUAGUCCGGAUUGGAGUCUGCAACUCGACUCCAUGAAGUCGGAAUCGCUAGUAAUCGUGGAUCAGAAUGCCACGGUGAAUACGUUCCCGGGCCUUGUACAC
rnacentral:rRNA from 1 species